AUUGAACGCUGGCGGCAGGCCUAACACAUGCAAGUCGAGCGGUAGAGAGAAGCUUGCUUCUCUUGAGAGCGGCGGACGGGAGAGUAAAGCCUAGGAAUCUGCCUGGUAGUGGGGGAUAACGUUCGGAAACGGACGCUAAUACCGCAUACGUCCUACGGGAGAAAGCAGGGGAUCUUCGGGCCUUGCGCUAUCAGAUGAGCCUAGGUCGGAUUAGCGAGUUGGUGAGGUAAUGGCUCACCAAGGUGACGAUCCGUAACUGGUAUAAGAGGAUGAUCAGUCACACUGGAACUGAGACAGGGUCUAGAGUCCUACGGGAGGCAGCAGUGGGGAAUAUUGGACAAUGGGCGAAAGCCUGAUCCAGACAUGCCGCGUGUGUGAAGAAGGUCUUCGGAUUGUAAAGCACUUUAAGUUGGGAGGAAGGGCAUUGACCUAAUACGUUAGUGUUUUGACGUUACCGACAGAAUAAGCACCGGCUAACUCUGUGCCAGCCGCCGCCGUAA
rnacentral:rRNA from 1 species